GUAGGACCUGCUGUGGUUUACCGUGUGGUGCACAUACCCUAAUGCAGGCAGCUGCGUUAUCAAUAUGAGAAAAUAAAAAACCCGCGGUCUUGCUCUCCAGAACCGCGGAGGAGGCUGGGACUUGUAGGAUGCUGGGACGUGUAGGACGCUACUGCGCAUGCUCUUACCGUCAAAAACGCGAGUGCGCAUGCUCCAAAAUGCGGAAGUCGGAGAGAGAGCCAUAUCACACAGGAGAGAUGGCAGCUGAUCGUAGAGGCAAACAGGUUGCAGAAAUGCGCGGAGACGGAACAAAAAAAACACUACGGAGGAGAAUGACAUGUUAACGGUGGAAGACAGAGAUACUGUCGAUAGUGCUCUUAAAAAGGAUAAUGCAGCAUCCACCUCCACCCUGAACACGGCACCCAACGCACCCAGAAACGCAAGACUUCACGUUCCUCUUCUGACGACUCAAUGGAAUCGUCCUCCGACAGUGAGAAUGAGUCUGAGUCAGAGUUUGACUCUGUCUCGCCUGACUUGUCUCCAGACAAAAAGAAGAACAAGAAAGACAAGAAGAAGACAGGGAAAGGGAAAAAGAAGGUGAAAAAGUCAAAGGAAAAGGAGAUGGGCCCAAAGGCACGUCAGAGAGGAGGAGGAAUGCACUCGUUUCCCAUUGAAAUGCACUGGCGGAAUCCCAGAAUCAGGCAGCCACCUACUUCUGGUGUGUGUCUGCCCUAAAGGGAUAGUUCACCAGUUUACUUGAAAUGUUAAGGAUUGCAAAGUGUGUAUUCAAAAGAGCUUGUAUUUUAUUUUUCUAUUUUAUACGAUCACAGACUGUUGUUAUUUAAAGAUGUUUGUCAAGUUUACUUGAAAUUUAUAGACUGUAUUUGUUUAAAGUGUGUAUUUAAAAGAGCUUGUAUUGUUUGGGACUAAUAAA